rnacentral:miRNA from 2 species
UGUAACAGCAACUCCAUGUGGGA